rnacentral:misc_RNA from 1 species
GUCCAAUUCACCCCCCUCUUGGACAUAUUUUGGGACAUCACAACCCAUUGAUAACAUUGGCCCCAUUAUUCGCCACCCUCUCUCGCAAGUGAGAAUCGAGCACCUCCCGUCUCACCAUCCCAAUGUACUCGUGAGGCUUCAGCGUUUUCCCAAUGUCCACAGCGAUGUUGGAAGGGGAAAUCAUCUUCAUCUUGGUCACCUUGCGGUCUAUGAUGUCCAUUGGCAGGUCGAACUCGCCCACCAUGCAAAGAGGAAUGGCCCCACCGCAUGGCUUGCAGUUAUCGAGCUUGCGUUUGAUGAGGUACGUCUCGAUGCCACCUUUAGCGAGGGUAUCGGCUGCUGCUCCACCAGCGGGGCCACCGCCAAUGACUGCCACUCGUAGGUUGCGGUUUUGGAUCUUGGGGCUGGAUUUGCUGGCGGUCAUUUGAAGACGGCGGUGGCAGUGGUUGAGAAGGGAAAUGGUGGGUACUUGGGUUUGGAGUUUGGGAGGUUCAGCGGAGGAAUGGCGGAGUCCCGUGAAGGAUUUGAAGGCGAUAGAGGAAGUCAUUUUGGGCGUGAGAGUUGAGACUUUUGAUGGAGGAGUGAAGUGCGAAGCGAAGGUUAUAGUUGGCAGUUGGAUUUUGUUGAAGAAUUUGAGGGUGGAUACGGUUAGGGAUAGGAUGAAUGGAAUGAAGGGUGGCGAUUGGAUGUGGAUAAUGAGGAUAGAAUAUAGGGGAUGGGGAUGAUUUUUCUACUUUGUUUUAUUUUAUUUUUAGGAAUUUUAUUUUAUUUUGUAUUAUAGUUUUCGUUCGAGCGAGUGGCUUGUAUUGCCACGUGGUGUGUUUUUUUAUUAAAAUUUGCUUUUAUUAUUUAGAUACAGAAUAUGAAAAUGGAUUUUUAGA